GAUGAACGCUGGCGGCGUGCCUAAUACAUGCAAGUCGAGCGAACAGACGAGGAGCUUGCUCCUCUGACGUUAGCGGCGGACGUGUGAGUAACACGUGGAUAACCUACCUAUAAGACUGGGAUAACUUCGGGAAACCGGAGCUAAUACCGGAUAAUAUAUUGAACCGCAUGGUUCAAUAGUGAAAGACGGUUUUGCUGUCACUUAUAGAUGGAUCCGCGCCGCAUUAGCUAGUUGGUAAGGUAACGGCUUACCAAGGCAACGAUGCGUAGCCGACCUGAGAGGGUGAUCGGCCACACUGGAACUGAGACACGGUCCAGACUCCUACGGGAGGCAGAAGUAGGGAAUCUUCCGCAAUGGGCGAAAGCCUGACGGAGCAACGCCGCGUGAGUGAUGAAGGUCUUCGGAUCGUAAAACUCUGUUAUUAGGGAAGAACAAAUGUGUAAGUAACUAUGCACGUCUUGACGGUACCUAAUCAGAAAGCCACGGCUAACUACGUG
rnacentral:rRNA from 1 species